UCCCUCCAUAUUCCUGAUCCCUAGAACCUGAGCAUUGGUCUGAGUGGCUUUCAAAAAAAGGAGGAAAAGUGAAAAUCAAAUAGACUUGGAGACUUUAGGGACAAACAAGUUCAUUGUAAACAUAC
rnacentral:snoRNA from 1 species